CCCAGACCCCGAGGGGGCAGAGCAGAUUUGGACAUGUCGCCCAACGCUGCCACCCUUGUGCUGACCAGUCAUCCCCAGAGAAAGAUGAACACGGAUCCUCGACCCACUUUGGUAAUGUCUCCACAGUGACAGAAGAUGACAAGGAUCACACCCACAACGAGAGAGCUCCAGAUGAUGGCUGAACAUCACCUGGGGCAACAGCACCAAGGAGAGGUGCCUGAGAAAGCUUCUGAGAGCACAGGGACCCAGGAAACGUGCCCACCCAGGAUCAAAGACACGGAAGUGGAGUCAAGGCUGGGCACCUUUGGGCUAGCACAAGAGCCUGCAGAAUCUAUCCCGACAACUCAGGAGAGAGGCAGUAAAAAAUGCAGCACAAAGGAACCCUCGAUCCAUGUACCACCACUGGAUUCCCAGGAAGCCAGCUC
rnacentral:lncRNA from 1 species